UACGGGGGGGAGCAAGCGUUGUUCGGAUUUACUGGGCGUAAAGGGCGCGUAGGCGGUCGUGACAAGUCACUUGUGAAAUCUCCGGGCUUAACUCGGAACGGUCAAGUGAUACUGUCGGACUAGAGUACAGAAGGGGCAACUGGAAUUCUCGGUGUAGCGGUGAAAUGCGUAGAUAUCGAGAGGAACACCGGUGGCGAAGGCGGCAUCCUGGACCGGUAUUGACGCUGAGGCGCGAAAGCCAGGGGAGCAAACGGG
rnacentral:rRNA from 1 species